rnacentral:lncRNA from 13 species
GUGAAGUCCACCCAGGGGGGGUUCCCAGGAAGGCAUUGCUGAGGAGGCUAAAGGUCAAGAAUAGCAGUGCCAACCCCAGCGGGUGACCAGGGAGAGGGAUCAUUUGCAUUAAGGCACAAAGUCAACAGGAGUGGCUGCCGAGCUCACAGAGCAGGACAAGGGGGCCACAGGGGCCGCCGCUCCAUGGUAAGAAGAGGCCUGCUCAGAUGGGCAUCUGGAGAAGACCUGUCCAGCUCCAGGGUAGAAAAGGAACAGAUGGGCUCAGGCCUGGGUGCUGCCCAAGGCCAGGCUGCUUGAGAUGUUUGGUGAAAUGAGGCAACGUGCCUGUGAUUUUGUUUUCAGCCCCAUCGCCAAGGCACCCUCUGAGGCUUGCAGUCUCCAUGGGCACAGCCAGGCUGGAGUACAACGGCGUGAUCUCGGCUUUCCACAACCUCCACCUCCCGGGAUCAAGUGAUUCCCCUGCCUCAGCCUCCUAAGUAGUAGGAAUUACAGGGGAAGCCAGCUGUCAUGUCAGGAGGUACCCGGAGCCUCUGUAUGGCUGGGAGCUAGAAGCAGCCUCAACCCAGAGUCAGUAGGAGUCGGAGGGCCUCAUUCCACCAGCUCACAGGGAACUGAAGCCCACCCACAAUUACGUAAGUGAGCUUGCACCGCAGUCAGGCUGGGGAUUCCCUCUCGGCCAAGUGUUCAGAUGAAACUGCAGCCCCAGCCACAGCUUGACUGCGUGUUGUUGGCGACCUGGGGGCAGAGGCACCAGCUCAGCUAUACCUGGAUUCCUGACUCAGAGACCAUCUGAUAAUAAAUGUUUACUAGUUUUCA